rnacentral:rRNA from 1 species
CCUACGGGUGGCAGCAGUAGGGAAUAUUGCUCAAUGGGGGAAACCCUGAUGGUGCGACGCCGCGUGGGGGAAUGAAGGUCUUCGGAUUGUAAACCCCUGUCAUGUGGGAGCAAAUUAAAAAGAUAGUACCACAAGAGGAAGAGACGGCUAACUCUGUGCCAGCAGCCGCGGUAAUACAGAGGUCUCAAGCGUUGUUCGGAAUCACUGGGCGUAAAGCGUGCGUAGGCUGUUUCGUAAGUCGUGUGUGAAAGGCGCGGGCUCAACCCGCGGACGGCACAUGAUACUGCGAGACUAGAGUAAAGGAGGGGGGACCGGAAUUCUCGGUGGAGCAGUGAAAUGCGUAGAUAUCGAGAGGAACACUCGUGGCGAAGGCGGGUUACUGGACAUUAACUGACGCUGAGGCACGAAGGCCAGGGGAGCGAAAGGGAUUAGAUACCCCAGUAGUC